AGGUAGUUGGUAUCUUCCCGAUAAAGCUGUUAUUGCUGAUAUUGAGCACAACAAGACUCUUUGUCACCUCCCAUGUGGUGGACGGAAAAUGCCCUGAAAACAAGUUACUCGAGAUAUUCAGUACCUUGAGAGGCCUUACAGGGGUUGCAGAUGACAUCUCUUUGAGGUCUCCACUGAGUUGGUUGAAGCUGACGUCAAGGACAGUGAUGCUGCUGGACAACACCAAUUCCAGCGGCAGGCCGCCAGACAGCAAAUUGUAGGAUAGAUUGAGGUGCAACAGGCCAGUGAGAUUGCCAAGGGAUGAUGAUAUUAAUCCCUGAAGGUUCCUCGAAGCCAAGAAGACAUCGGUGACCAUCCUAUCUGGACUGCAGGUGAUCCCUUCCCAUGUGCAGCAGUCUGUGCCAUUCUUCCAUGUCAAGGUGAGAUUUCCACCCUGUGAGAGCCCGCCAAGGAAUCGGAGUAGUGAGGUGCUCUCAUGCUCGGUGCAAGAAAUUGUGAGAGAGGGGAAGAGGAGCAGAACAAGAGCAAGGCCAAUGAAAGUUCUGCCGAAUCUGUUGCUGUAUUUCAUGUGUGAGAAGUGGAGUGCCCUCAUGGCUUCUUUCCAGAAAUCAGGAUGGAAGGAGAGGCACAAGUUGUCUCGUGAGAGGCUAUAGAGGCCAAACAGGGUCUGAUGUACAAAGAGCAUGAGGACAAGGAGGACAAGCUGCUGCCUCCGUUUUGUUUGAUCCUUCCAAAAUCAUAGUCACCAAAAGGAAAUCUGGGUCAAAGUUAGCUGCUACAGCGUUUUUUGAGUUCGCACCAUGAUGUUUCGUCUGAGCCUUUGUUGCUUCACCAUUAAUUCAGACAAAAUUUGAGCUAAGGAUGUGCCACCAUCCGGUGAUCAGGAAAAGACAUGGUUUGCGAGGCCUGAACUGGUGAGGAUCAUGGCAAGCAUCCAUUAAGAAAAGACGAGUCAAAUUCAAAGCAGCCAUUGAUGUCGCGAUCCACUUGGCUGCAGAGGGGCAAGUUGUGUGCAAGAUAAUGGAGGAAUUGUCGCUGACUGCUCUUUGCUUCUUGACCCGAGGCGUUUACUUUCUAGCCGUUGUCAUCGUACAGUAGCAGCCGCGGCUGAUGUAUACGUCUGCAAGUUGCAAUUUUCCUUUCUCCCUGCUCCAGUGGUUUACGGUGGACAUUGGACAGGACCUGUUGCUAGGGGGUCAAGGUGUAUAAACUACAGAGGAAUCAGCUGAUGUAGACUAGGCCAACAGCUCCGAGGAAAAAUAUUGCAUGGAUUUGUUUUUGGCGGCUAUUUUUUUGUUAUUGUGGAUGAUUUUUUUUUGGAAGUUGAUGGAAUAACUGGUACUGUACUUUUGUAUUUGUUCCUGUUACUGUAGCUAUCGUCUUUCGGUGCUAGUGGUUGAUAUUCUGAGAAA